GCCCAGAAUACCUUUCAGGGUGGAAUCUGGGACUGACUGAUCCUGCAUUAAAAUCCAGGAUUGUUUUUAUACCCUGAGAUCUAAAAAAAGUCUCCAAGAAAAUUUCCCUCAUGCUGUCUUGUCUUGGAAUUUGAGUGUAGGAAGCCGAGGAGCCUACAGACAACUAAGCAAUGCUGAUAUAGAAAUGAAUACUGGACACUCACACAAAACUCUCAGCUAUCCUGUUAUUCCAAAUCACAGAAACAAAGGCUCUUUUCAUGUAUCAUUGCAACCCAAUUAUCUACAAGGAAAAAUCAGCCAUUUUUAUCUAAGGGAGUAGAAGAAAUCUACCACGUAUUUCAGUGAGAGUGAGAUGGAGGAAUCCAUAAAAUGUGACUAAACCAUAGCACAGACGAACAGCAGUGGAUGAAGUCUACCAGUAUGCUCUGCUCAAAAGUUUAUUCAAAGCAGUUUUGGGCUGCCACACAGGAACAUUCAUGAGCUGUAGUGGGGAUUCAAAACCUGCAAGAUGAGAUUUGUGAUGCCACGCCUGCCAGCUUGUGGAUUUUAAUUCUCCCAGGGACAUCCCUGCUGCCACAUCACAGAUGCCUGAAAAUCAUGGUGUUUUCCAGAGGGCAUCUCACCAGAUGUUGAUGGAAUGGA